rnacentral:rRNA from 1 species
UACAGAGGUCUCAAGCGUUGUUCGGAUUCAUUGGGCGUAAAGGGUGUGUAGGUGGCGCCGUAAGUCGGGUGUGAAAUUUCGGAGCUUAACUCCGAAACUGCAUUCGAUACUGCGGUGCUUGAGGACUGGAGAGGAGACUGGAAUUCAUGGUGUAGCAGUGAAAUGCGUAGAGAUCAUGAGGAAGACCAGUGGCGAAGGCGGCUCUCUGGUACGGCACUGACGCUGAGACGCGAAAGCGUGGGGAGCGAACAGG